CCGUAGGACACGAUGACAGUAGUCUUUGAGAGUGUCCUUGUUUCGUAGGAUGUCACGAUAUACAUCCGCUGCCCCAGACCUGGAAUCAGCCAUUUCUCUAAGGAACCUCAGUUCCCUUUACUGAGAAAUAUAUUUAGAAACCAGAAUCUGGCCUCAAAGGAAACAGCUCACUUCUUCAGGGCUGGUUGCUAUUUCUAGUUCCCUUCCGUGGACAGAGAUGAGAGAAAGAACACCAGGAGAGGAACAGAUCUUGGAAGGCACAGGGAUACCGGCAGGCUGAGUGCCCACCUCACAGGUGCCCACCGGGCUGUCCCCUGGCACCACAUGAGGACCAUGCCAGCUGCUGACUUCCUCCCUCCAGCCAGCCACCUGAAUGAUGCCAGGGAUGUUGGCCUCCUGUCCUGUAGACCUGCUCCCUCAGCCACGGGGAUGGGCACCCGAGGGCUCUGCAAUCUUCGUGCCAGGACUUGGCAGGUUGAAUGGAGAAGAAAGAAUCCAGAUGUCUUUCAUGAAGCCAGUCAUUCAAGAGGUUUUUAAAAACGUAAAGCAAUACUACUCUUUUCACUAAUCUCUGCAGUGGAAAAAACAGUUAUUUUUUUCAUAAAAAGUAUUUUGCUCUUA